UCCUCUGUAGUCUAAGAGGUGCCCUUGGUUGCUGGUACCCUGGGCAUACCAGGCUUGCAGAGAGAGCAGCAGCGCGAGGAAGCCGAGGCGUGCCUGUCGGAGCGCAGCAGCAGCAUGCGCAAUAUUCCUCCCACAGUUGCCACUCUGUUGCCACGGAGGUAAUGACUUUUCCCGUGUCAUUAUUGAUCUAUCAACAGUAAGAGCAAUUUUGCAGUCUGAUAUUGUUUAGCAGAUAGAGUAAUAUCUGCUGAACACUGAAAAAACUGCUAUAAAAUGCUGGAAAGCAUCUCAGAAAUGUUGUGUACUAGGUUAAAUAGAAGUACUGAAUUUGUAGUUACUGUGGUUUUAUGAGAUUGGCCUAUGAGAUAUUAAGCUUAACAGAAUGCUUUUUAAUAAAAUAUUUAGUAUGGUCAAAUACUUUUGAAUUAUGCAAUAUGCAGCACUCAGAGGAUAAACACUUCUACGUACUGAUAAGACUUAAAACAAUUUGUCCACAUACACUCUAGAAACAGAUAAUUAUGUCACCAGGUCCUGUCUUCUAUUAGUCUAAGUGAAACUUCUUGUUUUUUCCAGAUAAUGAUUUAAAUCAUCUGUUCAGAAGAAGCAUUAAUGGGAUUUGCAUGACUCCUGACAUUUUGCUGACGUUCCUGUUAGAAGACCUAUCACCUCAUUUUGAAAACACUAAUAAAAGCACCAGUAUUCAAAUUGCAGGGUUUAAAUGAUCACAGAGGGUUAACAUCAGGCAUUCUGCUGCAGAACAGAAUUGUGAUUUAUAAGUUUGUGGUUUGUUCUCACAUGGUAUACAAGGAGAUGGUUGUACAAGAAUGAUACUAACUAAGAAAUACUGCCUCUAAUGACAACACCUCUGGCCUCUUUUCAUCCAGCAGUUAGGAGUGCUAAAAUCUUCAAUGGGCCUUAGAAAAAGAUUGGGCAAGCUCAAGAAAAAAUUUAUCUGCCAAAAAUAAAGACACCAUUAUGGUAUCGAGUCCUGGGCCAUAGAAGGCUGGGUGUCGCAGCAUAUGCCACAGUGGAGACAGCCACAAUACACAGAGUAUCACCAUACAAUUUCAUAAAGCUUCAACCCACACAGAGUAACACCACUUCAGAAGGCUACAAGGAUGUUGUUUAGAUCCUUUUGUACCCCUCAUGUUCAUGCAUUGCACCUGAGUGCCCUGUGUUCCUGUGGUGAUGGUCAGUGCCCCUGGGCACUGCAUGGCUCACUGCUGUCAGUGCUGCUCACCUGCUUCUCACAGCUGUACACCGGGGAUGAGGCUGGGCUGCAGCCCCACUCCCAGUUACCACUAACUACUUCCAGCUCGGGAGUGGGAUUGGCACUAUGUGCAUGUCCUGUUCUUUGCUUCCUGUGCUCGCUUUUGUCCAGUGUCACGGAAAUGGUAUCUUUGUCUCUGGUAUGGUAAUUUGUACAACUGUAAUUUACUUAAAGUGCCUGGACACUUUACUGGAAGUGUCUUGGCCUUUAGUAAGGCUGGGAAAACCCCAGGGCACUCAGUGCCUGUAAGAAAGAUUCUUGUGCCCCAUUUAAUGCCAGAAUGCUCUGUCACAGCAGUGGUGCUUCACUGGCUCAGUUUUAAAAACGUGCAGGUGCAGUGAGGCACAAGAGCAUCCGCGAUUAUCCUGCGUGUCGUGACCACGAGGGGGCCCUGGCAGCUUGGGUCUGGCUGAGCCCGGAGUUACACACUGGUACAGGGGCAGGGCUGAUGGCUUGGUGCCUCAGUGGUUACAUCCCUUCUUCAGCACUUCUGAAUUGCCUCUUCUAUAUUAUUUUAUUACAGUAUUUUGCUAUGUAAUUUUGAAAAAUUCAUCUUGUUAUAAAAACUCAACACUAGCCGUUUGUUCUCCUCUGUGGCAGAAGACACUACCAAGCAGGUAGUUUAGCAUGUGAGUUUUCAUCUGUAUGAACAAUUUCCCCAAGUAAAAGUUCAAGAGUUUUGCACACAUCACUGUAUUUCUAAAGUUGAAGGAAUUGGUAUGAAGAAUCUUAAUGAUAAGAUCUUUUGCAUAUUUUAAGCUUGGUAUUACGGUAUUUCAAUAAAGAUUUUCUUUCUCUGCA
rnacentral:snoRNA from 1 species